CGAACGGGUGAGUAACGCGUGAGGAACCUGCCUCAAAGAGGGGGACAACAGUUGGAAACGACUGCUAAUACCGCAUAAGCCCACGGCUCGGCAUCGAGCAGAGGGAAAAGGAGCGAUCCGCUUUGAGAUGGCCUCGCGUCCGAUUAGCUAGUUGGUGAGGUAACGGCCCACCAAGGCGACGAUCGGUAGCCGGACUGAGAGGUUGAACGGCCACAUUGGAACUGAGACACGGUCCAA
rnacentral:rRNA from 1 species